CAGUUGAUUAUUUUGCAGAAAGCAGUUUCCUUACCUUCUUGAUUUAUAACUCUGAUGAAUUUGUCAUAAAAUGAUUUUCAAACACUUAUAUCAGAGCAUCAGUUGUGUUCAGAAGCAUGUCCUACUUUGGCCCUAUAUGGCAAAACUGAUGACUGAAAUGUAAUUUCUGAAGCAUCUAUGUUAGGGCCUAAUUGAAGACAGUCUAAUAUAUAGAUUGUCAACAAGAAUUAAGGGGAAAAUAAUUUCUCAGUUGUUUUACUUUACCUUGCUCAUUACCUGUGAAUAAUCCCUGACAUGCCUUGUUGCUCUGAGUACCCAAUCUGGAAGACGGUCUUAGCAAAAGUGAGCUAAUUCCCUGUAUUUCAUUUGCUGAAUGUUUGUAAUUUUUAGGUAUUGGAGGAAAGUAUAUGGAAAACAGAAAUACAGUCUUGAUUAUAAUUCUGAUAAGGCAGGUAUAUUAAAAAUGUAAUAAAGACCUUACCUGAAUAUUUCA
rnacentral:antisense_RNA from 1 species